rnacentral:rRNA from 1 species
UGGGGAAUAUUGCGCAAUGGGGGAAACCCUGACGCAGCAACGCCGCGUGAGUGAAGAAGGCCUUAGGGUUGUAAAGCUCUGUCAUAUGGGAAGAUAAUGACGGUACCAUAAGAGGAAGCCACGGCUAACUACGUGCCAGCAGCCGCGGUAAUACGUAGGUGGCGAGCGUUGUCCGGAUUUACUGGGCAUAAAGGAUGCGUAGGCGGAUAUUUAAGUGGGAUGUGAAAUCCCCGAGCUUAACUCGGGGGCUGCAUUCCAAACUGGAUAUCUAGAGUGUCGGAGGGGAAAGUGGAAUUCCUAGUGUAGCGGUGAAAUGCGUAGAGAUUAGGAAGAACACCAGUGGCGAAGGCGACUUUCUGGACGAUAACUGACGCUGAGGCAUGAAAGCGUGGGGAGCAAACA